GACGAACGCUGGCGGUGUGCUUAACACAUGCAAGUCGAACGGUAAGGCCCUUUCGGGGGUACACGAGUGGCGAACGGGUGAGUAACACGUGAGUAACCUGCCCUCAUCUCUGGGAUAACAGUCGGAAACGGUUGCUAAUACUGGAUAUGAGCUUGCAAGGCAUCUUGUGGGUUGGAAAGAUUUUUUUGGUUGGGGAUGGACUCGCGGCCUAUCAGCUUGUUGGUGAGGUAGUGGCUCACCAAGGCUUCGACGGGUAGCCGGCCUGAGAGGGCGACCGGCCACAUUGGGACUGAGAUACGGCCCAAACUCCUACGGGAGGCAGCAGUGGGGAAUAUUGCACAAUGGACGGAAGUCUGAUGCAGCAACGCCGCGCGCGGGAUGACGGCCUUCGGGUUGUAAACCGCUUUCAAUUGUGACGAAGCUUUUUGUGACGGUAGCAGUAGAAGAAGCACCGGCUAACUACGUG
rnacentral:rRNA from 1 species